AUUGACGGACUGAAGGCUCUUUCUCGAUUCCGUGGAAAGUGGUGCAUGGCCGUUUUUGGUUGGUGGAUCGAUCCGUCUGGUUAAUUCCGUUAACGAACGAGACCUCGGCACUCCGAAUAGCGCGGCGGACGUCGCGGCCUCCGGGCCGUCUUCCGCACGAGCUUCUUAGAGGGACCGUCCCCCGCCGGGGAAGGAGGUGCGAGGCAACGACAGGUCUGUGAUGCCCUUAGAUGUUCUGGGCCGCACGCGCAUUACACUGACGCGUCCAACGGGUGACUCCCGACCCGAAGGGGCCGGGGAAUCCGCAAGGCGCGUCGUGAUGGGGAUUGAACGUUGCAAUUGUUGUUCACGAACGAGGAAUUCCUAGUAGGCGCGGGUCAUCAACCCGCGCCGAUUACGUCCCUGCCG
rnacentral:rRNA from 1 species